AGUGAACGCUGGCGGUAGGCCUAACACAUGCAAGUCGAACGGCAGCACAGUAAGAGCUUGCUCUUACGGGUGGCGAGUAGCGGACGGGUGAGGAAUACAUCGGAAUCUACUUUUUCGUGGGGGAUAACGUAGGGAAACUUACGCUAAUACCGCAUGCGACCUACGGGUGAAAGCAGGGGAUCUUCGGACCUUGCGCGAUUGAAUGAGCCGAUGUCGGAUUAGCUAGUUGGCGGGGUAAAGGCCCACCAAGGCGACGAUCCGUAGCUGGUCUGAGAGGAUGAUCAGCCACACUGGAACUGAGACACGGUCCAGACUCCUACGGGAGGCAGCAGUGGGGAAUAUUGGACAAUGGGCGCAAGCCUGAUCCAGCCAUACCGCGUGGGUGAAGAAGGCCUUCGGGUUGUAAAGCCCUUUUGUUGGGAAAGAAAAGCAGCAGGUUAAUACCCCGCUGUUCUGACGGUACCCAAAGAAUAAGCACCGGCUAACUUCGUG
rnacentral:rRNA from 1 species